CGGAUCGUAGCACAAGGGCAGUGCACCCGUCUGAUACACGGGCGACGAAGGUUCAAAUCCUUCCGAUCCGA
rnacentral:tRNA from 1 species